AUUGAACGCUGGCGGCGUGCUUAACACAUGCAAGUCGAACGGCCCGCAAGGGCAGUGGCAAACGGGUGCGUAACACGUAGGGAUCUACCCUUCAGCUGGGGACGAACGGAUGGAAACGUCCGCUAAUACCCGAUGACGUCGGGAGACGAAAGGCGAAAGCCACUCGUGGAGGAGCCUGCGGCCUAUCAGGUAGUUGGUGGGGUAAAAGCCCACCAAGGCUAUGACGGGUAGCAGGUGUGAGAGCACGACCUGCAACAUCGGGACUGAGACACUGCCCGGACUCCUACGGGAGGCUGCAGCGACGAAUCUUCCGCAAUGGGCGCAAGCCUGACGGAGCGACGCCGCGUGUGGGAUGAAGCGCCUUCGGUGUGUAAACCACUGUCAGGAAAUAGAACCAAUGAUCAUUUCCAAAGGAAGAGACGGCUAACC
rnacentral:rRNA from 1 species